GGUUUCAUUCCUUCCUUUUUCACACCACUACUUUCCAAACCUGUCAUGGAGGCAGCGGUGGCCACCAUUGCUUCACCCUCUCCGUUGGUUGUCGUUUCUCCUGCUCCAAACGCCACCUUGCUUGUUCGGUUUUGACCCUCUCCCGUUUUCUUUUUUCGAUCUGCCCACCAAUCUGGGUAUCCAAUUAGCUUAAAACACCCUUCCUUGGUGUGUCGCGAACCGCCACAGUGGGUGCACCAGAGAUGGGUCUUCUCAUCUUCACGCCUAAAUUUAGGCUUCUCCGUUCUACUCUUUGCAGCUAGAUCUGUUCCGAUUCCCGGUGAUUCAUUUGAUGAGGGAAUUUCGUUUUUCAUUAUUCCCCGGCGGGAUAUUUCUCUCCAGACGGUUGCGUAAGCCUCUUCGACAGUCGGUAGAGGCUCCCUUUGAAGGAGGUCUCUCCGAUCUUUGUCCAACGUUUCAUUUAAUUCAGCAAGAAUUGCACUACUACAUUUUUAACCAAAUGCAACGGCAUAAUAAAGGCUAAUACAACGGUAUUUUAACUGCCGUUGCAAUAGAGUAGGCUAUUGCCACGGAUUUAAAACUAAUGUUCAUAGAGGUAGAGCUAUUGCCACGGCUCUAAAGAACCGUUGCAAUAACCUAGCUAUUUUAACAAAAAUGAGAGCUAUUGCAACGGUAUGUGUUGUAUCAUUAAAAUUUUAGAAGCGCGCAUUUCUUCCCUCCAAUUUUUUCACCAAAUAUUUUGAACAAAACGUGUUUAUUCACAACUCAUUCUCACGGAUUCUCACAGUACCCAAUCUACCCAUUCUCCAUUUUCCCCAUUUUCUCCAUUUACCCCUAUUCUCAAUUUUCCCCAUCUUCUCACAUUUACAUAUUUGCUUCAACUCCAGAAUUACUUCGAAAUUCUGAGGUGAAAAUCACUCAAAAAAUCACUCAAAAAAUAAUGAGAAUAAGCAAAUAAAUCUGAGGAAGUAGACGAAGGCGGCAGUCAGGAGGUGGUGGCUGAUAGCGGCAGUCAGGCGGUGGUGGCUGACAGCGGCAGUUAGGCGGUGGUGGCUGAUAGCGGUACAUAGUAUGUCACUUCUUCCAAUCUUUCGUUCUUCGCUGCCUCACACCUCAGUCCUCACUAGCCUCCUGUAGUCCAGUAGAUCGACCGUCGCCAUGAUCCGUCGUGCCUCAGUGCCUCACAGGAACUCGUCCGUCGUUGUUGCCACACCGUCGGCCGUCUUCGAUGCAUCAAUGUCUUCUUCUCCUUUCAACCUUUUAUCUCUUUCCUCCUAAUCUUCACAAAAAUCAGACUUUCAGGACUGGUUUGAGAGUUGAGUGUUGUCAUGGCCGUCUAUUGGCUCAAGGCAUAUUAUGCACUUUAGGGAGCUCAAAUUAAAUUUAUGGGCCUCUUUACAAGGAGCCAAUUUACAAUGACUCGUACGUGGUUCUAUUCAAGGGUGUGGCCAAGCUGGGGACGAGCUUCAAACUAAGAAAUCAGUUGAUCAAUCUAAGUACAGCAGCUCACAAGUCGUGAUCCAAGUGGCAGUAGUAAUCAGUGUAAUGCUUUUUGUAAACAACAAAAGCUAUGGAAGUGCAUCUGAGAUUACUGGUGUUAAUGGCUUAAUACCUCUGCUUCUGGCAAGAAGGAAUUGAGCCUUGUUAAGGAGAGUGAAGGCUGUAAGCCCUUCGUACAUGAUCGGUUCAAGUUGAAAAGGAAUUCAUUCUGCAGAAAGAGAAGCAGCUCUACCUAAGUUCCUACAAAAACGGAAAAACCGAAGCUUUGCGAAAAAGGUACGGUAUCAAAGCAGGAAAAAAACUAGCAUAGCAGCAGCCUAUAUGUGGCAAUCUUGUUCCCUUGCCAUGACAUAUAAUUGUAUACUUGUAAAUUAGCUCUCUUCGUUACCUCUUGUUCGGUAUUGACUACAUGGAAAGAAAAGUUUGUUACUUGUGGAGUUCUGCUACCUCUUCCUUUCCUUGCUGCUUCUUGUGCAUGGUGUUGGUCAGUCCCUGUUGUAGCUUGCUGCUGCAGUUCUUGCAGGCUUUGACUGUUUGUCUGCUGCCUUUCUAAGCUGUCUUGGUGCUGCUCUGCUUCUCCUAUUCUGGAGGCUGCUGUCUAUUGGCUGAUGCUGCUGAUGUGGUACUUGCCUCCCGCCUACUGUUGUUGAUCUGAUGUCUGCUAUUGUUGCUGAUUUGUUAUCUGCUGCAUGCUAAUCUGCUGCUGCUGUUGAUUGCUGUCUGGGGCUUGUGUGCUGCUGCUGCUAUCUUCCUUUUUGCUGCUGCGUAUUGCUGACGUCCUUGCUGCACUAAUGACUAAUGAGGUUGACUGCUUGCUGCACUAACGAGGCUGACUGCUUGCUGCACUAAUGAGGCUGCUGCGUAUAUUAAGAGUUUUGAAGCAGCACUUUGUUGUAGUAAUAUGAUUUGAUCAACUGAGACGCAGCUGUUCAAAUUGUCAAGGAGGUGGAUAAUAAUGAAGUUGAAGAGGAUGCUUCAUGAAUUGCUUUAUGAGAAAUUGGAGAAGCAUGAGAAAAAAAUGAUAAUGCGGUCCAAAGAAUUGCCGAAAAUAUUGUUUGGCGGACAAAAUGAUUUAGUUUUAACUUUUAAUUGUUUUUUUUCUUAGUUUAACUAGUGAUAAUUUAAUUUUGUAAUUUUCCUUAUAGAUAACAAUGUAAAAACUUUGAAUUCAUAUUAAUAAAAUUCUAU